CCCCCGGGAUAACCGCCCGAAAGGACGGGUAAUACCGGAUACCCCCGGGCGCCGCAUGGCGCCCGGGCUAAAGCCCCGACGGGAGGGGAUGGCUCCGCGGCCCAUCAGGUAGACGGCGGGGUGACGGCCCACCGUGCCGACAACGGGUAGCCGGGUUGAGAGACCGACCGGCCAGAUUGGGACUGAGACACGGCCCAGACUCCUACGGGAGGCAGCAGUGGGGAAUCUUGCGCAAUGGGGGGAACCCUGACGCAGCGACGCCGCGUGCGGGACGGAGGCCUUCGGGUCGUAAACCGCUUUCAGCAGGGAAGAGUCAAGACUGUACCUGCAGAAGAAGCCCCGGCUAACUACGUGCCAGCAGCCGCGGUAAUACGUAGGGGGCGAGCGUUAUCCGGAUUCAUUGGGCGUAAAGCGCGCGUAGGCGGCCCGGCAGGCCGGGGGUCGAAGCGGGGGGCUCAACCCCCCGAAGCCCCCGGAACCUCCGCGGCUUGGGUCCGGUAGGGGAGGGUGGAACACCCGGUGUAGCGGUGGAAUGCGCAGAUAUCGGGUGGAACACCGGUGGCGAAGGCGGCCCUCUGGGCCGAGACCGACGCUGAGGCGCGAAAGCUGGGGGAGCGAACAGGAUUAGAUACCCUGGUAGUCCCAGCCGUAAACGA
rnacentral:rRNA from 1 species